rnacentral:tRNA from 1 species
GCGAAAGUGGCGGAACUGGUAGACGCACUACUUUGAGGGGGUAGCGGGGUUUCCCCGUGGGGGUUCGAGUCCCCCCUUUCGCA